GUUGGGUCCCCCAGAAAAGACGAUAAAGACCUUCAACCAAAAUGCCGAGAAGUGGAAGAUCUCCGGGUACUUGUGGAUCGACAGGCAGAGAUGAUCGAGAUACAGCGAUCCGAGAUACAGAUAUUAAAGAAGAAGGUUGAAGACGGAGAGCGGAAACAUGUAGAUUUUAGUUCAGAACUAAGUGAAAUACGGAAAAACUGGCUUCAGGCCCAAGGA